AUUCUUAAAUUUUUCAACUCUCUUUUGACAGAUUAUAGUUUAAUACUUCUCACCUUGCUUCACCUUCAAACUCCUAUUUUAAGAUAUUCCAAGCUUUUUUUGCUUUGCUUGCUCCUAUGAUUCUUGAAAAUAUUGUUUCUGCUACUUCUUGUUGGAUGAGGUAAAGUGCUCUUGCAUCCUUUAGACUUCAAGAUUCUUCUUUGCUUCAUUUGAGAGUUGGCUCUCAUGUUCUGGCUUUGUGUAACCUACAGCAAUAAUUAAUCAUAGCCUUUAUGAUUGGAGCAUAGUUCUCAUCUUA
rnacentral:lncRNA from 1 species